AUGAGAACAAGCCCAAACUAGCCUACUGAGGGUAAUAGACCAUGGGGAAAAAAGCUGAGUCACUUCAAUUGGAAGUCAGCCAACCCCAGAAACAGAGCUGCUUAGCUGAUGUUCAAUUGAUUACAGGCACAUGGGGAGGCCCAGCCAGUCAAACCCAGAACAGCCCGGCUGAGCUCAGCCUAAUUCUGUGACUUUCAGGAUGAGUAACAAAAUAAAUGAUUCUUAUUUUAAGUCAAAAUUUUGGAGAGCAAUCUUCCUCUUGUCAAUGUCUAUCUCAGUGCUAUUUCAGACUCCUUUCGUACUGUCAAAUCUCACUCAACUUUUAGCAUCUAUUUCAAUUGGCAUCUCUUCCAAGAAGAUUUUUCUAAUUUCCUCAAGUGAUGUGUUAUCUCCCCUAUAAUUGAACCCCAUUUUGAUAUUUGUGUCCCUUUUUAGCUUUUUUUUUAACUUGUUUUCUAUUAGAGGUGUUAGUGUCCUACUCAUCUUGCUUUUCCUACAGCUAGUAAGUGGACAUCCAGGAGGUACAAGGAUAUAUCCCAGACCUGGCCAGUCAUGCUACCAUUUCCCAUAAUAAUCUCCUUAAGAAAUGAAGAGCUAUAAGAAUGGAAUCGAGACUAGGAGAGGAACAUCCAAAGGAGAGAAAAUGACUGCAGUGGGAGAGAACAAGAGCUACGAUCAAAAAGAGGAGAGACAAGCAGCACUGAGGAAGACAGAAGGGUAAGAAGAGAUGAUGUCAGAAGUGGGAUCCAAAGAAAAGCUUCCAGUGACCCCCAGGAGCACUGAGUGACCAAGCAAGGUACCUGCUGGGCCCAUUGUAUCCAUUGUCUUCUUGUUGAAACUGGGGAUUAUUGGUUAGUUCUCCCUUGAAUUCUGAAGCCCCACAGAUUUGUGUUUUGAGGCAUUCUGAGUUUGAGCAAAUUUCUGAUCCAAACUGGGUUGGAAGUUGCAGCAUAAAUUCGGCUGGGCCCAGAAUCAGAUUGGCUCUGUUAAUUAACUGAAUUGGAUCUAGUUAGAGGUCUUAGGUGUCUGACUGGCUCAGAGAGAAACUAGGAUUAAAUGGUUAUACUACAGGGGAUGCAAACUUCAGCUUUCAUACAUUUACAGAGAUUUUUGUCAAUUUUUCCUGGGCAUUUGGGUAUGGAAAAAUUAUUAAGUUGAUCAAGGAGAUCUGAGAGUCAAAGCCAAGAUUCAGAGUAAAAAUGGGAUCCUUAAUUUCUUAAGAACUGAGUAAUCUACCUUCCAGCUAUGCCUACAUUUACACAUGAAAAGUAUUAGGCCCCAGAAGCAGCAAAUGGUUAUAGAAAUGGCAAAAUCUUACUAAAGAUAGUUUAAAAUUAGAGUGGAACAUUCCAAGUGAACAACAUUGCACUUUAAGAAGUGCAUUUGAAAGUGAGGGCCCCCUAAUUAGUCUCAUCCACGGAGGAGUCUUUUUUUAUUUAUUUUUUAAACAAGAAAAGACUUUUGCUUAAGGCAAAUAAAAAGCUCAAGCAACUAAUUGAGAAGAAAAAUGGAAACUGCUAACAUUUUCACUUAGUUACUAUGAUGGUUAAUACUGAGUAUCAACUUGAUUGGAUUGAUCCUGGGUAUGUCUGUGAGGGUGUUGCCAAAGAAAAUUAACAUUUGAGUUAGUGAGCUGGGAAAGGCAGACCCAUCCUUAAUCUGCGUGGGCACCAUCUAAUCAGCUGCCAGAAUGGCUAGAAUAUAAAGCAGGCAGAAAAAACAAAAAACAAAAAACAAACAAACAAAAAAAAAAAAUGUGAAAAGACUAGACUGGCCUAGCCUCCCAGCCUACAUCUUUCUCCCAUGCUGGACCCUUCUUGUCCUUGAACAUUGGACUACAAGUUCUUCAGUUUUGGGGACUCAAACUGGCUUUCCUUGCUCCUCAGCUUGCAGACGGCCUAUUGUGUGACCUUGUGAUCAUGUGAAUUAAUACUUAGUAAACUCUCAUACACAAACACACACACACACACACACACACACACACACACACACACACAUAUUCUAUUAGUUCUGUCCCUCUAGAGAACCCUGAUUAAGGCCGUUACUAUUCCAUCCCAAAGGUGAAAAGAAAGCUAUCCUAGAUAAUGUCUUUAGAAAAAGAAGAUACUCAGUAAAGUAGGCUUGCUUCUUUUUCAGAUCUAUCCAUACUGAGUUCAGGUAUAGAGAAUGCUUUCUUUGUCCUAUUCCUUAAUGUACUCCACCCCGAACUCAGUAAUUUUAGCUAAGAAAGAGCAGCUGAAUUAAAAAGAUCAUCUAUCAAACUAAAACACACCUACCUGGCACUUAACCAGCUAUCUUGAAAGACGUUUGUAAAAGCAAUUUACAUCUAUAAAGGAAAUCUCCAUUUGUAAGAGCUCUGUCUAUGUACAUUAGAAACUCUUAACCAUUGUUUUAGGUAUGACAAUUCUUUCAUGAGCGUCCCUGUGAAGAGACCACCAAACAGGCUUUGUGUGAGCAACAUGGCUGUUUAUUUCACCUGGGUGCAGGCGGGCUGAGUUCGAAAAGAGAGUCAGCAAAGGGAGAUAGGGGUGGGGCUGUUUUGUAGGAUUUGGGUAGAUAAAGGAGAAGGGGGGUUGUUCUCUGGCGGGCAGGAGUUGGGGGGUCACAAGGUGCUCAGUAGGGGAGCUUUUGAGCCAGGAUGAGCCAGGAGAAGGAAUUUCACAAGAUAAUGCCAUCUGUUAAGGCAGAAACAGGCCAUUUUCACUUCUUUUGUGGUGGAAUGUCAUCAGUUAAGGCAGGAACUGGCCACCUGGAUGUGUACGUGCAGGUCACAGGAGAUAUGAUGGCUUAGCUUGGGUUCAGAGGCCUGACAUUUCUGUCUUCUUAUAUUAAUAAGAAAAAUAAAAUGAAAUAGUGGUAAAGUGUUGGGACGGCGAAAAUUUUUGGGGAUGGUAUGGAGAGAUAAUGGGCAAUGGGCUGCUUUGAGCGGGAUUAGGGGCGGCGUGGGAACCUAGAGUGGAAGAGAUUAAGCUGAAGGAAGAUUUUGUGGUAAGGGGUGAUAUUGUGGGACUGUUAGAAGAAACAUUUGUCAUUUAGAAUUAUUGGUGAUGGCCUGGAUACGGUUUUGUAUGAAUUGAAAAACUAAACGGAAUAAGAGAAGGAGAAAAACAGGUAUUAAAGGUCUAAGAAUUGGGAGGACCCAGGACAUCUAAUUAGAGAGUGCCUAAGGAGAUUCAGCAUAGUCCUGCCAGCAAAGAUUAUUUAUUUACUUCAAGAGUUAAGAGUGGCGGUUUGGGGAUAGCACCAGGAGAUAUCAGCUGUGAUGGCUUGGAAAAACAGUGUAAACCGGCAGUGUAAACAACAGCAGGGCAUGUAUGAGUAGUUGAGAAUGGUGAAUAGGAGUAUGACUAGAAAGAAGAUAGUAGGGAUGACAAGUUUUUUUGGGGCACAGUCUAAGUUGGUCUGGUGUCUGGAAUGAGACUGGGGCCUAAUAAAAAGGAGUGUCUAUACAGGAGCUCAAAUGGGCUGUACCUUGUAGCAUUCCAAGGACAGGCCUGAAUGCUGAGAAGGGAAAGUGGUAAAAGUAUUGUCCAGUCUUUUUUAAGUUGGUGGCUGAGCUUGGUGAGGAGUGUUUUUAAAAGACCAUUAGUUCGUUCUACCUUUCCUGAAGACUGAGGACCGUAAGGGAUAUAAGGGUUUCACUGAAUACCAAGAGCCUGAAAAAAUGCUUGGCUGAUUUGACUAAUAAAGGCUGGUCUGUUAUCAGACUGUAUAGAGGUGGGAAGGCCAAACUGAGGAAUUACGUCUGACAGAAGGGAAGAAAUGACCACGGUGGCCUUCUCAGACCCUGUAUGAAAGGACUCUACCUAUCCAGUGAAAGUGUCUACCUAGACUAAGAGGUAUUUUAGUUAUCUGACUCGGGGCAUGUGAGUAAAGUCAAUUUGCCAGUCCUGGGCAGGGACAAAUCUUUGAGCUUGAUGUGUAGGAAAGGGAGGGGACCUGAACAAUCCCUGAGGGGUAGUAGAAUAGCAGAUGGAUCACUGAUAAGUGAUCUCCUUGAGGAUAGAUUUCCAUGAUGGAAAGGAAAUAAGAGGUUCUAAGAGACGGGCUAGUGGCUUGUACUAUAGCAUAGCCUGCCUUUCCUGGUGUGUGGCGAUUAGGCCGGGUGGAACUGCCAUAAAUAAACCAAGUGUGAUCAGGGUGAGAAACAGGGAAGAAGGAAAUGUGGGGAAAUGGGGUGAACAUCAGGUGGAUCAGAGAGAUACAGUCAUGUGGGUCAGGUGUGGUAUCAGGAAUAAUGUGGGAGGCCGGAUUGAAGUCCGGGCCAGGAACAAUGGUAAUUGUGGGACUUAACAAAGAGUGAGUACAGCUGAAGGAGCUGGGGAGCAGAAAGUAUAUGCGUCAGGUAUGAGGAAGAAAAUAGAUUUUGGAAGUUAUGAGAAAUGUAGAGAGUAAGUUGAGGAUAGUUUGUGAUUUUGAGGGCCUCUAAAAGUAUUAGGGUGGCAGCAGCCGCUGCACAGAGACAUGAUGGCUAGGCUAAAACAGUAAGGUCAAGUUGUUUGGACAGAAAGGCUACAGGGUGCGGUCCUGGCUCUUGUGUAAGAAUUCUGACUGCACUAACCAUGCCUAGGAAGGAAAUGAGUUGUUGCUUUGUAAGGGAUUGAGGUUUGGGAGAUUAAUCGGACACGAUCAGCAGGGAGAGCACGUGUGUUUUUAUGAGAAUUAUGCUGAGAUAGGUAACAGAUAAGGAAGAAAUUUAGGCUUGACUGAAGUAAUGGGGGCUGUCUGUGAAGCUUUGCGGCAGUACAGCCCAGGUAAUUUGCUGAGCCCGAUGGGUGUCAGGGUCAGUCCAAGUGAAAGCGAAGAGAGGCUGGGAUGAUGGGUGCAAAGGAAUAGUAAAGAAAGCAUGCUUGAGAUCCAGAAUAGAAUAAUGGAUUGUGGAGGGAGGUAUUGAGGAUAGGAGAGUAUAUGGGUUUGGCACCAUGGGGUGGAUAGGCAAAACAAAUUGGUUGAUAAGGCAUAGAUCCUGAACUAACUUCUAAGGUUUGUCUGGUUUUAGGACAGGUAAAUUGGGGGAAUGAUAAGGAGAGUUUAUAGGCUUUAAAAGGCCAUGCUGUAGCAGGCGAGUGAUAACAGGCUUUAAUCCUUUCAAAGCAUGCUGUGGGAUGGGAUAUUGGCAUUGAGCGGGGUAAGGGUGAUUAGGUUUUAGUGAGAUGGUAAGGGGUGCAUGAUCGGUCGCCAAGGAGGGAGUAGAGGUAUCUUAUACUUGUGGGUUAAGGUG
rnacentral:lncRNA from 1 species